GACGAACCGUCCAAACGUUAUUCGGAAUCACUGGGCUUACAGAGUUCGUAGGCGGUCCCAAAAGUUAGGUGUGAAAUCCCUCGGCUCAACCGAGGAACUGCGCUUAAAACUGUGGGACUCGAGGGAGAUAGAGGAAAGCGGAACUGAUGGUGGAGCGGUGAAAUGCGUUGAUAUCAUCAGGAACACCGGUGGCGAAGGCGGCUUUCUGGGUCUUACCUGACGCUGAGGAACGAAAGCUAGGGGAGCGAACGGG
rnacentral:ncRNA from 3 species